ACUAUUUAGGAUAAUGAAGAAAUGCAGGUUAGUAGUUAGUCACCUAGUACAGUAAAACUAUAUUCAUGUUAGGUAUGUUUUCAAGGUUAAACAGAGAUAUAUUUUAGAUAGGCAUACUUUAGAUAAAUAGAUCUCAAAAAACUUUAGAGAUCUAUGGAAUAUGGCAUUUAAGAUUUUUUUUAUGACAAUGAGACAUGUCUUCUAGCAGCACCAAUCUAUUUCAGAGAAGAUGAUGGGCAUCGAACAAACUCCAUAUGGAGUUUACUUUCUUUGUGGCAAAAAGUUAGCCAUUGAGCAAAAAAACUACCUGUGCCUCAGCUGCUGUCAGUAUGUUGUCCAAAUUGGACAAGCAGGACACAAAAGAAAGUGACUGCAAAACUUUGUCAAGACAAGGUAAGACAGUCUUUCAAAAUUCUUGCUUCACAGAAAAGUCUGUCAGAUGUUCUAGACCUGUCGGCCGAAGAUGGAUGCCCCAACAUUACAGAGGAACCUUGGGUGACUGUUCGGGCACCCAGGUGUUUCUGUCAUUUUGUAGUUUUGAAAGUUGUUCCAGUUUGCUCAGAUAAAGCUGGCUUGGAGUGAGAUGGUGGAGUUAGCCACUAGCCGACCAAAAUCGACCACAGAGGUUUUGGAAGACUGAGGACCAUAGGGCAGGAGUCAAGCUGCUUCCUUCAGAGACAGAGCCGAAUGUCUGCGUGUGAGUCUUGGCCCGGCAAGUGAGGCCUUCCGGUUCAAUGAUCACAUCUGAUGUCCUCCCAAACAGUAGAAUUACAGUGCAGAACGCGCUUGGAUUUCUUGUCAAACAUCUGUGACUCAGGGUGAACCACAGGAAGUUAGAAAAAAAGGGAUUUCCAUGUUUUCAAAAUAGAGAAACAGAAGUGGGGGGUGGGAUUGAGCUUAGAACCACCUGCUUCCCACUAUCAUGAUUUAGAGGAGUGAAACCAAUGAUAGACUUACAUUCAUAAGUCCUUUCAAGAGGAAAUGGUCUCGGGUGAAAAUGACAUUUCUGCAUUAUGUGGGACUUCCUGUGUCUCUAAUUAUUUCAAAAUAAAAAGUGGGUUGUUUUGGUUUGGUUUUAGUUCCUUCAGUGGGGGAGAUGGCCUUCUGACUUUGGGGAGAAUUACUGCUGUAGUCAAGACUCUCCAGAGGACAGGAAGCGAUGCCUGUAGUCAGACUUCAGUCAUUUCCAGAAUAGAUUGUGUGUGCAGAGGUACCGUUCUUCCAAAUUAGCAGCAGUGGGCAGGAAAAGUGAUAGGAUGUUCCAUCAAAAGUAUGUUCCCUGCUGGGUAUCGUAGCACAUGCCUUUAAUCCCUGCUCUUGGGGGGUGGGGGAACAAUGAAUUUCUGAGAGGUCCAGGCCAGCCCGAUCUACAUAGUGAGUUCUAGAACUGCCAGGGCUAUAUAGAGAGAUCCUAUUUCACAAAGCUUAAAAAAAAAAAAAAAAAGAGGAAAAAAAAGUUAUGCUCCCAGGGGUGAAGAAUUGGCUCAGUCUUGAAAGCAUUGUUGCUUUACAGAGGACUUAGGUUUGGUUCCCAGCACCCAUGUGGUGGCUCACACUUAUCCAUAA